AUGCAGAAAAAUUAUAAGAAUAUAUUGCUUGAGAAAUUAAAUAGGGUGCUUGCAGUUCAUCAUAAUCAUUCUAGAUUAGGGGGCUUAGGCCUCUCGUAAAGCUUGGUCUGAAUUCUAGAGUCUAUAACCUCUAUGUUACAUAUGACCACAACACGGUCCAAUUGUUGUUCCCUUUUUGAUAUACGAUAUUCUUUCUAAUUGGUGCUACUUUUUAUAAUCACUUGGUCACUUCUACUUAUCUGUCAAAACCCACAAUCCAAAGGAGUAAUUAUACAGCGCGCAACAGUUUUUCCAUGUAGGAUAUCCUACAGAAUGACAACCUAAUAGUGGAUGGACAUGUAUGUAUAAGUGGGUCUACAUGUACACAUGGGUGGGUUCCAAAAAUUUAUAACUACCUUGCAGUUUAGUUUUUUUUUUUAAAAAAAUAAUAAUUACAUUUGCAUAUAUAUGUAACUGCUAUUGGGUUGCCAUUUUAUGUCAAAUGCUAACAUAGAAUAACCGCUUUAUUAUAUAAUUUCUCCAUUUCAAGACUUACUAGGCCUCAUUAUUUCCAUUUAUUUAUUUUAGUCCUUAAAAUAUUCAUGGGCAAUUUGUAGGGCCAGCUUGUCGGAGUUUAUA
rnacentral:misc_RNA from 1 species